rnacentral:rRNA from 1 species
CGGUAAUUCGUAGGUCCCGAGCGUUGUCCGGAUUUAUUGGGCGUAAAGCGAGCGCAGGCGGUUAGAUAAGUCUGAAGUUAAAGGCUGUGGCUUAACCCAUAGUACGCUUUGGAAACUGUUUAACUUGAGUGCAAGAGGGGAGAGUGGAAUUCCAUGUGUAGCGGUGAAAUGCGUAGAUAUAUGGAGGAACACCGGUGGCGAAAGCGGCUCUCUGGCUUGUAACUGACGCUGAGGCUCGAAAGCGUGGGGAGCAAACAGGAUUAGAUACCCUGGUAGUCCACGCCGUAAACGAUGAGUGCUAGGUGUUGGACCCUUUCCGGGGUUUAGUGCCGUAGCUAACGCAUUAAGCACUCCGCCUGGGGAGUACGACCGCAAGGCUAAAACUUAAAGGAAUUGACGG